GAUGAACGCUGGCGGCGUGCUUAACACAUGCAAGUCGAACGGAAAGGCCCAAGCUUGCUUGGGUACUCGAGUGGCGAACGGGUGAGUAACACGUGGGUGAUCUGCCCUGCACUUCGGGAUAAGCCCGGGAAACUGGGUCUAAUACCGGAUAGGACCACAUUUUGGAUGGUGUGGUGGAAAGUUUUUCGGUGUGGGAUGAGCUCGCGGCCUAUCAGCUUGUUGGUGGGGUAAUGGCCUACCAAGGCGUCGACGGGUAGCCGGCCUGAGAGGGUGUACGGCCACAUUGGGACUGAGAUACGGCCCAGACUCCUACGGGAGGCAGCAGUGGGGAAUAUUGCACAAUGGGCGCAAGCCUGAUGCAGCGACGCCGCGUGGGGGAUGACGGCCUUCGGGUUGUAAACUCCUUUCGCUAGGGACGAAGCGUUAUGUGACGGUACCUGGAGAAGAAGCACCGGCUAACUACGUG
rnacentral:rRNA from 1 species